rnacentral:rRNA from 1 species
CUUGGUCAUUUAGAGGAAGUAAAAGUCGUAACAAGGUCUCCGUAGGUGAACCUGCGGAGGGAUCAAUAUCGAACCUGGCCCCCUGGCCACGUCUACCUUGCAAACCCGUGGAAGCGAACCGUGCUUCGGCGCCUCGGCGUCGAGUUUAUGCUGCAGUUGGUAGUUUGCGUCUGAAUCAAACCGAAGGACAUAAAACUUUCAACAGAGGAUCUCUUGGCUCUUGUAUCGAUGAAGAACGCAGCAAAGCGCGAAAUGUAGUGAACAUAGCAGCACAAUUGUGAAUCAUCGAAUCUUUGAACGCACAUUGCGCCUCCGGUAGCUCGGAGGCAUGCCUGUCUGAGCGUCAUUUAAAACCAUGGACCCAGGAUUGGGUCCGUAUUGGGCGUCGCCCCCCUCUCCAGAGUGGCGCGUGGCCUCAAAGACAUUGGUCUCACAUGCGGACGAGCUCCCCUGGGACAGACCGCGUGGAGACCCUAAGCAUCUGACUUUGAUCUCAGAUCAGGUAGGAACACCGCCUGAACUUAAGCAUAUCAAUAAGCGGAGGA